CUACUUUUAGUUAACUCUCAUCCUGAAGAUCUACUUAGUUUUAGUCAUUGUGAUUGUAAGAGGACUUUAUCUUAAAUCAUUCAUAUUGUUUGGAUGCUGAGUCCCCUUCUUUCCUCUUCUUUCUCUGUAUACGUCUUUGAAGAGAUGGUAUGCAUUUUUAUAUCAUGCUCUCAAAUAACUUUUAGAUGUGCAAUCCUGUCCACUUGUAGCUCUGCAUCAAUAUCUGUAAUGUUAUCAAAAUUACACCAACUAUAUGGAGCAUCCCCAUUCAAUGAGUUUAAGGUUUAACUGAAAAGAUGAAGCAAGAAUGCCUAUAAUUUAAAAAAUAGAAGUAAAUCCUAGUCCUGAACCUUGAAGAGAUUUGUGGAGAAAUGAAUUAGCAAAAUUCAGAGUGCUUCAUAAAAGACUGAUGGCAAGAUUAUAACAGAGUAAGAGUAGUU